GGAAAUGAAAUUAAGAGACAGACUUAGACUGAUAUCAUACCAAAAUAAAUACGAAAAUGCCAACAUGUAUCUCUACCCAGAAACCGGUGUCACACUAUCCACGGAUUAUCUAAGAAUACUACAUAUAAAUUUUUGAAAAAGAAAUACAGUAUGUCUCGGAUACAAGUAAUAACAAAACAUAAUAAUAUAUAGAAGAGUACGUCGGGCCUGCAGACGCCUGCAGCACUACCUCAGGAUCUUUGUGAACUGAAGGCUGACUCCCCAAGUACUACUAUCCCAAUUGUCACACUUCCUUUUUACCGCUCCUGCAAGGGGCAAAGGGAGUUUUUCCAAAUAAAGGACAAUCAAAACGAGAUUUGCUUAAUUAAUUCAGAGUCUCCACUUGAGAGAUUUAUGGUGUCCCAAGUCACCGGUUGAAUCCCAAAUCGAGGAAAAGAAUGACUCUAUUUAACAGUCCGCGUACCAGAAAUCCGGAUAAGAAAUUCUGUUAACCCGGGAGAAGGUGUUAGGCAUUCCCGAGUUUCGUGGUUCUAGCACGGUCGCUCAACUGUCGUAUUUAGAUUAUUUAUCUGAUUUUAAUACAUAUGAACCUAUGUGCCAAUUUUAACUUUUAACCGCUUUAAUUUAAUUUAAUAAAGAAAAUUAAACGUCGUCUCACAUAUGUCUUUGGAUUGCGCCGCAUGAAAUAAACUGCGAUCCUGGACACAUAUGAUUCGACGUUUUGGGAUUUAAAUUUGGGUCGCAUGAAAUGCACACCUGAGUUUAUGGAAGAUAACAUUAUUAAAUACGCGCCUAAAGAUGCUAAGGCGUUAUUAUUCUUGAGAAGGCAGUGAAAUUCGCUAAACGGCCUAUCCCGAAAUCUACGGAGUUAAUAUAUACAUUUAUGAGGGCCCACAGUUUGUGCCUUUUUAUUUGGCGAGGCACGUCACAUUUAUUUUAAAAGGAAAAUCCUAAAAUGACUACAUUUUCUUUAUUAAGUUCGUCUCUAAAUAUAAAAAAAAAUCCUAAUUUAUUUACAUGCUUUGCGAGCGGGUCUCUUAUUAGUUAUUAGAUUUGUAAGAGAGGAUAACAGAAAAAUGCACUCGAACUCGAAAGGUGAAAAAUUUUCUUCAUGCCUUAUUCAAUAAACGAACUAAUAAAGCUGACAUGUGUACGAGAUUGACAAAAUAUUGAAAACGAACUAACCAUUCUCCAAAUUGAUUUAAACUAACAUUUCUAACAUUGAUUUAGACUAAUGGAAUUAACGGCUAGAAAAUGUUAUCAACAUGGAUGCUAAUAUUUGGCCUAAAUACUGCCUAACGGAAUAGAGUGCUACCUAAUUAAACAAUGUUCCUACAUGAUUCCAAAACAAGCCUUUUGUUCAAUGAGGUACUAUCUGGUAUUUGGAAAUAGUCUAAAGAGCCUAACAUGCUUUUGAGAUGUACUAUUUAACAAGUAAUACUGAAACCAUAGAACAUGAUUUGUACAACAUCAAUCAAUUUUAACUAAGCAUGUGAGGAUGGAGGUUUACAACUAAACUACUACAGAAUAUUGUUCAGUUAUACAUAGCCCACACUUACGUGAUUUGAGUUGAAGACAUGAACUAUUAUAUGUAUGUAGCUUAAUGUUCAAUAUACAACUAAAAGGAAUUCAAAACAACUUCAACUAUUAAUUUUUCAUUCAUGCUUCUAAUUUCAGCUUACAUUGAGCCAGUGUAUCAGUUGUGUAUCUGGUAUUUGGAAAAGCAAAGAGGAGAGGAAGAUCAGUAGAAGCAGUAGUAGCACAACAAUAGCAGUACGACUAACCAGUAGAACAUCCAGUAACAAACACCACAGGAAACCCCAGGAAUAGAUUAACCAAGCAGAAAACCAAGAUGCUCAAUGGAACAAGUACUCUAGACCCAAUAAAAAUCCAACAGUAAACCCAGGAAACACCACUUGAAUACAAGUAGUACUAGAAACAAACACAGACAAACAUAGAAGUAACCAAUUGCAAAAGAAGCAAUAACUUUUGAUUUUUUUAGCACUCAAGAAAGAAGCUUGAAGCUUCAAUGAAACAAUAGCAAUUAAUGCUAAUUUCAACAGUGAAGGAAAGCAGAAUCAUCUCAAUUUUUUGCUAUCAAAGUCUGAAAUUCUUAAGAUUCAAAUUUUUUUAUAUCUCCUCUUAAGUUCUGAAAAUCUGAUCUCAAUAUUCCGUUCUCUAUCUCACUCUAGACUCUCUCUCCAAAACAUCCAGUUUCUAAUUAAUCAUCAACUCUAUGUAUUUAUAGUAACCCCCUAGAUCUUCCCUCCUUUGAAAAACUUCACUUACCCGACCAACAAUCCCAAAACAUCUGCCAAUUUUUACCUAAAUCCCACUAAGGAAUGCUUUUCCUUAUUUUAUUCCCUAAAUUAAGGCAUGAUAUAAGGGCUUGCUCCCCACUAGCAUUAGACUAAUGCAUAAGUUCUUGUCUUAUUAGUGCUUGACUAACAGACCAUUAACUUAGUCAAUUAUGAUCAUUUUUCAUUCCCAAAAUACCCCUAUAAUCCUACUUUUAUUACUGCCCUGCCCUUAAAAUCAGUAUUAAAUCAAAUUAAUUCUUAAAAAU
rnacentral:lncRNA from 1 species